UACGAAGGUGGCAAGCGUUGUUCGGAUUCACUGGGCGUACAGGGAGCGUAGGCGGUUGGGUAAGCCCUCCGUGAAAUCUCCGGGCCUAACCCGGAAAGUGCAGAGGGGACUGCUCAGCUAGAGGAUGGGAGAGGAGCGCGGAAUUCCCGGUGUAGCGGUGAAAUGCGUAGAGAUCGGGGGGAACACCAGUGGCGAAGGCGGCGACCUGGCCAAUUACUGACACUGAGACGCGAAAGCGUGGGUAGCAAACAGGAUUAG
rnacentral:rRNA from 1 species